rnacentral:rRNA from 1 species
AGAGCGAACGCUGGCGGCAGGCCUAACACAUGCAAGUCGAACGGACUCUUCGGAGUUAGUGGCGGACGGGUGAGUAACACGUGGGAACGUGCCUUUUGGUUCGGAAUAGCUCCUGGAAACGGGUGGUAAUGCCGAAUGUGCCCCCUCCUUUGAUCGGGGGGGUGGGAAAGAUUUAUCGCCAUUAGAGCGGCCCGCGUCUGAUUAGCUAGUUGGUGAGGUAAAGGCUCACCAAGGCGACGAUCAGUAGCUGGUCUGAGAGGAUGACCAGCCACAUUGGGACUGAGACACGGCCCAAACUCCUACGGGAGCAGCAGUGGGAAUCUGCGCAAUGGGCGAAAGCCUGACGCAGCCAUGCCGCGUGAAAUGAUGAAGGUCUUAGGAUUAGUAAAAUUCUUUCACCGGGACGAUAAUGACGGUACCGAGAAGAAGACCCGGCUAACUUCGUGCCAGCACGCCGC